rnacentral:rRNA from 1 species
UCAGUGAAAAUAAACAGCCGCAGAAUUUUAACACUGUGCUAAGGUAGCAUAAUCACUUGUCUUUUAAUUAAAGAAUAGAAUGAACGGAAAAACGAAUUUUAACCUAUUUCGAUUUUUUUUUACAAAAUUACCAAAAAGUAAAAACACUUUUUUCUAAAAAAAAGACGAUAAGACCCUAAAGAACUUAACUAAAGUUAAGCUGGGGCGGCUCUAUAAAAAAAUCUUAAUUUAAUAUUAAUUCAUCCUUACUAUAUUUACUAAGUUACCUUAGGGAUAACAGCAUAAUUUAAUUUAAUAGCUCUCAUUCAAAAUUAAGAUUAUGACCUCGAUGUUGAAUUAGCAUUCUACUAAACGAAAAAAAUUAGCAAGAAAGUCUGUUCGACUUUUAAACAACUACAUGAUUUGAGUUCAGACCGGUGAAAACCAGGUCGGUUUCUAUCUUUUUUAAACUUUUAUUAGUACGAAAGGACCAUAAAAUAUAUUA